CGCCCUUAGAGUUUGAUCCUGGCUCAGGAUGAACGCUAGCUACAGGCUUAACACAUGCAAGUCGAGGGGCAGCAUGAACUUAGCUUGCUAAGUUUGAUGGCGACCGGCGCACGGGUGAGUAACACGUAUCCAACCUUCCGUUUACUCAGGGAUAGCCUUUCGAAAGAAAGAUUAAUACCUGAUAGUAUGGUGAGAUUGCAUGAUAGCACCAUUAAAGAUUUAUUGGUAAACGAUGGGGAUGCGUUCCAUUAGGUAGUAGGCGGGGUAACGGCCCACCUAGCCGACGAUGGAUAGGGGUUCUGAGAGGAAGGUCCCCCACAUUGGAACUGAGACACGGUCCAAACUCCUACGGGAGGCAGCAGUGAGGAAUAUUGGUCAAUGGGCGAGAGCCUGAACCAGCCAAGUAGCGUGAAGGAUGAAGGUCCUACGGAUUGUAAACUUCUUUUAUACGGGAAUAAAGUAUCCUACGUGUAGGAUUUUGUAUGUACCGUAUGAAUAAGCAUCGGCUAACUCCGUGCCAGCAGCCGCGGUAAUACGGAGGAUGCGAGCGUUAUCCGGAUUUAUUGGGUUUAAAGGGAGCGCAGACGGGAGAUUAAGUCAGUUGUGAAAGUUUGCGGCUCAACCGUAAAAUUGCAGUUGAUACUGGUUUCCUUGAGUGCAGUUGAGGCAGGCGGAAUUCGUGGUGUAGCGGUGAAAUGCUUAGAUAUCACGAAGAACCCCGAUUGCGAAGGCAGCUUGCUAAACUGUAACUGACGUUCAUGCUCGAAAGUGUGGGUAUCAAACAGGAUUAGAUACCCUGGUAGUCCACACGGUAAACGAUGGAUACUCGCUGUUGGCGAUAUACUGUCAGCCGCCAAGCGAAAGCAUUAAGUAUCCCACCUGGGGAGUACGCCGGCAACGGUGAAACUCAAAUGAAUUGAC
rnacentral:rRNA from 1 species